rnacentral:lncRNA from 1 species
CGCAAGUUUCUCCUUGACCCGCUAUCAAGUGCUUGAAAGCAGACUGCAGGAAACCAUAGGAGCGCAAAGAACUGUAUGGAAAGAGAGCUCUUGGAAGGUGCCUUGCACAAAUGUCUACAACGGUUUUAUUAAGCGGGAGGAAUUUAGGCUGCAAUUGGUGUCUACCUCUCCAGGAGAGAUCGUCCACUCGUUUCUGAGUGGGGCUCGCUAUCCCAGGCAGGACCAGCCUUCAAGUCCCCUGAGAACGCGGCUGGUGGCACCGUUGAUCCGGCACUGAAGCCUCUGCCAGUGACCAUCACGGAAGCCUAAGAACAGCGGGACUGCUCUUACCUCUUGGGAUAAGCUCAGGCAGCUCUGGGAGGAAGCACUUGAC